rnacentral:rRNA from 1 species
GACGAACGCUGGCGGCGUGCUUAACACAUGCAAGUCGAACGGUGAACCUGCGUCGGUGGGGGAUCAGUGGCGAACGGGUGAGUAACACGUGGGCAACCUGCCCUCAGCUCUGGGAUAACUCCAAGAAAUUGGGGCGAAUACUGGAUAUGACCGCUGACCGCAUGGUCUGGUGGUGGAAAGAUUUAUCGGCUGUGGAUGGGCCCGCGGCCGAUCAGCUUGUUGGUGGGGUAGUGGCGUACCAAGGCGACGACGGGUAGCCGGCCUGAGAGGGUGACCGGCCACACUGGGCCUGAGACACGGCCCAGACUGCUACGGGAGGCAGCAGUGGAGAAUAUUGCGCGAUGCGCGGAAGCCUGACGCAGCGACGCCGCGUGGGGGAUGACGGCCUUCGGGUUGUAACCCUCUUUCAGCAGGGACGAAGCGACAGUGACGGUACCUGCAGAAGAAGCACCGGCCAACUACGUG